CCUACGGGAGGCUGCAGUAGGGAAUCUUCCACAAUGGGCGAAAGCCUGAUGGAGCAACGCCGCGUGGGUGAAGAAGGUCUUCGGAUCGUAAAACCCUGUUGUUAGAGAAGAAAGAGCGUGAGAGUAACUGUUCACGUUUCGACGGUAUCUAACCAGAAAGCCACGGCUAACUACGGGCCCGCAGCCGCGGUAAUACGUAGGGGGCAAGCGUUAUCCGGAUUUAUUGGGCGUAAAGGGAGCGCAGGCGGUCUUUUAAGUCUGAUGUGAAAGCCUUCGGCUUAACCGGAGUAGUGCAUUGGAAACUGGCAGACUUGAGUGCAGAAGAGGUGAGUGGAACUCCAUGUGUAGCGGUGAAAUGCGUAGAUAUAAGGAAGAACACCAGUGGCGAAGGCGGCUCUCUGGUCUGUAACUGACGCUGAGGUUCGAAAGCGUGGGUAGCAAACAGGAUUAGAUACCCGUGUAGUC
rnacentral:rRNA from 1 species